rnacentral:rRNA from 1 species
UACGUAGGGGGCAAGCGUUGUCCGGAUUUAUUGGGCGUAAAGAGCGUGUAGGCGGCCAGACAGGUCCGUUGUGAAAACUCGAGGCUCAACCUCGAGAUGUCGAUGGAAACCGUCUGGCUAGAGUCCGGAAGAGGAGUGUGGAAUUCCUGGUGUAGCGGUGAAAUGCGCAGAUAUCAGGAAGAACACCUAUGGCGAAGGCAGCACUCUGGGACGGUACUGACGCUGAGGAGCGAAAGCGUGGGGAGCAAACAGG